rnacentral:lncRNA from 1 species
UUCUCAACUAUCUUGCUAUUUUGACCUCAUUCUCCAUGGCAGUGGCGAGGUCAGUUGGCUUCUCUGUUAGGCAAUAUCUAUGGAGCAAUGGGGUGGGGACAGAUCAGUCCCAGACAACUGCGCCACCCUCAGUUACUCCACACCCAGCAAAACAAUGUUUCAGGUCAGAUUCAAGUUGUUUUGGCUUUUACUACAAAAAGCAUCUUUACAUAUAUCUGCAAUUUAAUGGAUAAUUUAUUUUCCCUUUCCAUACAUCUGAAAGAAGAAACAUAAUUGGUAUGAACGGCACUUAAUUCCAGACUGACUUCUUUUGAACUGUAGGUAAGCAUUAUUUGUUUGAAUGAUUACAAUUGAGACAAAAUGUGGGUUUUUAACAG